UGACGUCACCGCAGCCCGGCGCCCGCCGCCAUUGGACUCGGCGGCCGCCGCUGCCCCCGCUCGGAGCGGCCCCAGGCCCGGGCCGCGGGCAUGUGAGGCACGGGCCGGCACCGCCCGAGCACCGCCGAGCCGCGGCACCGCCCGAGCACUGCCGCCGCCCCCGGGGAGCCGCCCCGAGCAGGCGCCAGGCGGCCCCUUUCCCUCCCUCUCCCUCGGCCCCGGCCCCUUCCCCGCCCGGCCGCCGCCUGAGGGGAGAGGAGGCGCCGCCGCCGCCCCUCGGCCCCGCCAGGCCCCGCAGCCCCGCGGCCCUGCCCGGCGCUCUCUCUGCUGAACCACGGCGGCCCCGUGCAUGAAUUAUGUCUGCCACAAGCGUUGACCCUCAGAGACCGAAGGGACAGGAUAAUAAAGUACAAAAUGGUUCGUUACAUCAGAAGGACACAGUUCAUGACAGCGAUUUUGAACCUUACCUUUCCGGGCAGUCAAAUCAGAACAGUAGCUAUCCAUCAAUGACUGAUCCUUAUCUGUCCAGUUAUUAUCCACCAUCUAUUGGGUUCCCCUAUUCUCUCAGUGAAGCACCAUGGUCUACAGGAGGAGAUCCUCCUAUCCCCUAUCUCACCACCUAUGGACAGCUCAGUAACGGAGAUCAUCAUUUUAUGCACGAUGCUGUUUUUGGACAGCCUGGGGGUCUGGGAAAUAAUAUCUAUCAACACCGGUUUAACUUUUUCCCUGAAAAUCCUGCCUUCUCAGCUUGGGGAACGAGCGGGUCCCAAGGACAGCAGACCCAAAGUUCAGCAUAUGGGAGCAGUUACAGCUACCCACCCAGCUCACUGGGUGGUACCAUUGUGGAUGGACAAACAGGAUUUCAUAAUGAUACCUUAAAUAAAGCUCCUGGAAUGAACAGUAUUGAACAGGGAAUGGUUGGACUUAAGAUUGGUGGAGAUGUUACAACUUCUGCGGUGAAAACAGUAGGUUCUGUUGUUAACAGUGCCGGGAUGACAGGUGCCCUCUCUGGUAAUGGAUCUAAUGUAAACUUGCCAGUAUCUAAACCAACCUCUUGGGCUGCUAUUGCCAGCAAGCCUGCGAAACCACAGCCUAAAAUGAAAACAAAAACUGGACCUGUAAUCGGAGGAGCGUUGCCUCCCCCCCCUAUAAAGCAUAACAUGGACAUAGGUACUUGGGACAAUAAGGGUCCUGUGGCAAAAGUUCCUGCCCCCCAACAGAUACCUUCUCCUCAGUCUGUUCCGCAGCCACAGCAACCGAUUGUUCAGCCUGUUCCAACUCAGCCUCCUCCAUUGACUCAGCCGCAGUAUCAGGCCCCUCAGCAGCCGCCCCAAAAUCGCUGGGUGGCUCCUCGCAACAGAAACGCAGCUUUUGGCCAAAGCGGAGGAACUGGUACCGACAGCAGCUCAGCUGGCAGCACCCAGCCCAACCCCGUCCCCAGCGGAGAGUCCCAUCCCGUCCUGGAAAAACUGAAAGCUGCUCACAGCUAUAACCCUAAAGAUUUCGAGUGGAACCUUAAAAAUGGACGUGUGUUCAUAAUAAAGAGCUAUUCUGAGGAUGAUAUUCAUCGUUCCAUUAAGUAUUCUAUUUGGUGUAGUACGGAACACGGCAACAAACGCCUGGACAGCGCUUUUCGCUCCAUGAACAGCAAGGGUCCCGUCUACUUGCUGUUCAGUGUCAAUGGCAGUGGACACUUCUGUGGAGUAGCAGAGAUGAAAUCACCUGUGGACUACGGCACCAGUGCGGGUGUCUGGUCUCAGGACAAGUGGAAGGGGAAAUUUGACGUCAAGUGGAUCUUUGUGAAGGAUGUGCCCAACAACCAACUGCGACACAUCAGGCUGGAGAACAAUGACAACAAACCCGUUACAAACUCCCGUGAUACACAGGAGGUGCCCUUAGAAAAAGCAAAACAAGUGCUUAAAAUUAUUGCAACUUACAAGCACACGACCUCCAUCUUUGAUGACUUUUCUCAUUAUGAAAAGCGCCAGGAAGAGGAGGAGGUGGUGCGGAAGGUAAACUUAUUAAAAAAUUUAUUUUAUACACAGAUAUGGGGAAAAUGAAAUGUGAAGGCUGCUAUGGUGGAAAAAUGUAAGUAGGAAUUUGAAAUGUCUUUAAUAUGUCUCGAUGGUUUCGUGUGUGUUUAACAACACAAAAAAAAAAAAAAAAACCUGAUGCAAAUCUGUCUGUGAAAAGUUUCAUAGCUAAUGAGUUUCAAAGCAGAAACCUAAGCAGUAAUGCAGGUAAAGGACUUUAUGUCCUGUUUAUUGGAGUUUGAUUUAUUUUUUUAUCUUAAAAUGGUUAAUAAACUAGAAAAUAGUUUCUGUUGCAGAAUUGGAUUCUGCCAGUGAUUGCCACUUAAGUUUUUUGCCUUAACUAUGAGGUGUUUUAACACUGUUUGACUGGAACUGGGAUAUCAGAAUUGAUACCUGUACUGGUAUUUGAAAUGUGUACAUCACCUUUAAAAGCAAGAAACCUGAUUUUGUUUGUUCAGUUGAUCUCUCUGGAAAAGAAAGAGUUGCAUAAAAUUGCUGGAAUAGUGCUAGAAAGAUUGCAUUUCUGCUGCUGAAGUCACAUGUAUUAUUUGGAUAAAUAAAGGUUUUCAGUUCCCAGGUUUAAUCUGUCUACUAAUUCUUGAAGUUUUGAGUGAAGCCUUAGUAAGAGAAGUUUGGGCAGUAACUGGGAGAGUGUAGUAAAACUUUCCAUACACUUUCAUGGCUGAAAGUCUACCGCGAGAAACCUCUGUCCCUCUCCAUCCCAUGACCUCAGCUUCAAGAAUGCCUUUCUCUAAUUAGGCACUCUAGAAGUAAUGGCCUGACAAAAUAAUAGGUGUUGGGAUGUGUAGUUACUCCCUAAGUAACACUUAAAUUUGCUUGAUGUUGAUAGUGUUUCACAGACCUUUUUUGUAUAGCACUGCAGAUACAGCAUUUGUUUGACAGGUUUAGUUUAGUGCAGUUUACACUUGCUUCAAGAUGUUUUUAAAGCAAGGACUUAAUGCAUGUUCCUGCAGCUUAAAUUUUAAGAUUACCAUUUUAAACUUUAUUGCCCUUUAAAAUUGCUUUCAACUGUCUUCAUAUAAUGUACCUUUAAAGUAUGAGAGAAAAUCAGUUCAGCAUCUUAAAAACUUUUUAGCUGAACUUUUUCCUGGCUGUGAUGGAUGUGCAUCGCUGACCUCAGCACAGCAGGGAAGGAGAGCUUAAAACGGGAAGUUUUUCUUGUGUACUCCCCGUGGGGUUUCACAAGGUAAAACCAAAAAGCCUUUACUUGAACACCUCAUUCCUUCAGUAGACAAUCAGCAAUUCAGUAUUUAAUGCAACCUGUGUCUUGGAGAGGUUCACUUACACAGGAGAGAGUCUUGACUAAAGGAGGUGGGCUGGGCUCCUCUGUGCAGUGUUUAUGGUGUAGAGGGGUGUGAUUGGUUUGGGUUUUAAUGCUGAGUCUCCCUGUGAUUUGCUGCCAAGUCUGGAGGGGAGAAGCUGUGUAUGUUUAAGGAGUGAGAGAUCUGCCCUUGCACAGAUAACUUACUGGCCUGAGGAAGAUCCUGAUGGUGGCAUGCUGAGCACUGAAAUUCCUUGACUGUGUAGUAGCUCAGAGGCCUGAUCCCAUUUAGGGUUUGUUUAAUAAACACAGCUAAUUCCCACUUUCAGUUCUAAUGCUGAAACAAUUUCUUACCAAGCCACUUCUUGCUAUACAACAAGAUCAUUUUCUCAAAAUAAUCCAUUUUUCUUCCUCAUUUAAAACCGAGGCUCUAGCUUGUAUGACACAGUCACAAAAUAAACUAUGAAGUCUUAAUUUAAUAUUUCUUAGAUACCUCCAAAUAGCUUAAAAAAUGAGACAGCAAAGUACAGCGAGGAAGGUAAGAGUGCUAGAGAGGGAAAGCAGAUCAGCAGGGAGGGAAUGAAAAACUUAAGAUGCUGCUUUUCAGGUUGCAUUCUCUAAAACUGUUGUCUGGAAAGUCAGUAUUUUUCCCCUUCAUUGACUAAAUGAAUUUUAGAAGUCCAGCUGAUUACUAGAAGAGUUUUUUUGCAGGAUAUACACACACUCUUUAAGUCCUUAUCAUUGAGAAGUUUGUGCUAUUGAAUGUAAAGCCUUGCUGUUAAACAAAGUUAACGUUCCUAUCACAGUAAUUUUUGAACAAUCUUAUUGCAGUUAAGGUGUCUUAUGACCUAAUUGACAUUUUCAGAUGGUUGGUUGUAUAUGUGCCAUCUUAAUUGAUUCUCAGAUUACUAGUUUUAUUCAUUAUACUCUGUUUAACUGUAAAAUUAAUUACUUGUUGAAAUUUUGUGCCUCUGUUUCCCCACUGUCAUGAUUACGAAGGGCAAGAAUUCUUAAAAGUCUGCACAGGGAGCACUUGAAUGCUACAAUGUCAGUUAUACAAAAUAUUUUAUAGGGAACAAUAACGUAAUCAGUGCAGUGCACUGGCGUUUCAGUUCUGUAGAUGGUUCCAGUGUGUUGCUAACCAGCAUUUCCAUAGCUGAUGUCCAGAGCCAGCCCCAGUGUGUGUGAAUUUACCUGAGCAGGAACCUCUGUGUUAGUGCCCAGUCAGCAAAUGAGGGUUUGGCAGGGGCAGUGCCGGAUGAAAUUCAUUAAAGUGCCAAAGAUCCAUCACCAGUACCAGUAUUGCGGCAUCUGGAACUGAGGGGAGAUUUGUUCGUGCUGGGAUGUAAGUCCAGCUUUUGAUUUGCCAUAGGAAUAAAAUAUUUAAGCCCAGUCUGUUGACCCAGAACCUGGGAGAGGAGUAAUAGAAAGAUAUCGGGAUCUGGAAUGAAAUAGCAAAACAGUGAGCGGCCUGAAAUCUCUCCUGACCCUCCCUGCCCUUUUCAGUCAGUUCCAGGGCUGUUACAUUGUCCACAAAGAGCAACUUCCAUGAUUAAACUCAUGCUCUGAAAAUGUAAAAGAGUUGUGACAUAGAGAGCUUCUUCAAUAGAAAUACAGUAUAAUGUGUUAAUUGUUAACAGUCCCUAAAAACGUGCUUGCACACUCUUAACAAAGUUAAGUCUGUCUUGCAAAGUUAAAAGGCUUGUAAAGGCAAUAAACUUCUUGUAGGUUUUGGUAUUUUUAUUUACAUCUCAUGGUAGGGCAGGUGACAGAUCAGCUGUCAGCAGCUGGUCCUCACAGGUCUGUACCUAAGCACGUGGUCACAGUUCUGUACUGGGCUGCACUGCUGUCACCUCAGAUCUGGGUCAAGGCACUCAGCUGUUCCAAGGUCUGCUCCUUGGUGUUGUGUUGGAAGAGCUGCACAGCCUCAGAAAGCUCCUGAAUCACCAAGAUUACCAGUUCUGCUUUAGGUGGUUAAAUACUGAAAAGUGUUGGCUGGUCCACAUUGGCAAUUGGAAAUACUCACUUUCUUCUAGCACUGUGAUCCCUCUCAGUGAGCUUUCUGUGAACACACUCAUUGACACAGAACUUUUAAGGAUGGAAUAUUGUCCUUCCUCCAAAGCUCUAGCUAAAAAACAUUUAUAUUAUAAGAUUAAUACUCUGUUCCUAAUAUAAAGAAAACAUCUGUAUGUUUGUGUCUGAAGAUGAACACUUUGAUCCUAUUGACUUUGACUAAGUUUAGUAGGAAGGGUGAAGAUAUUUUAGACUGAGGUGAAGAGAACAGAAGUUUGACAGGAUUGAGUGUCUCCAAGAUGGAAACUCCUGCAAGUUUUGUGAAAACCCAUUUUCCCUGUGUCUGAAGAUCAUAUACAUUAGUGUCCCGAAGGAGAAAUGCAACAGGAGCUCUCCUGUGAGAUACCAGAGAACUCCACUGGAGAAGAGAAACUGUGAAGGCUCCGGAUCUUCAGAACCAAAAUGAGCAAAGCUUUGGUAGUUGCUCACAAAACUGUUUGUUCUUGCUUGCAGUAAGUGCUUAAAUAGCAGUAAGGAAGAGAAUUUGAGAGGUAGAGCUUCUAAAAAGCAGCCAUGCUCAAGAGCACGAAGAAUUGUUGCGUCAGUUUAUGUGGUUUCAGACAAUUGUAAAGAGGAAGACUCAGAUUAGCCCCCAAGAGAGAAAGCAAAGCAGCAAGGAACGUCAGAAUCGAAACAAACAAUAAGAAUAAACAUAUACAGUUUGAUAUAUAUACUAGAACUGAUAUUAAAUUCGACUAUGAGAAACAAAAUUAAGUAUAACUGGUGCUGUAUCCUGGCAUCAGGACAAACUAAAGCUUUCAGCUCCAAUAUAUCUUCUCGUGCAGGGGAAAUUAAGUUGUCACAUCUUUAAGUACAUUGUAGUUUAUUUUUGCCCAAAUGGAUCUGCAUUAAUUUGUAUCUUUUUUUUUCUAUGUAAAAUUCUGUAGAAAUCAUUAAUAAAGGUGUGUCUGUUUUUAUUUUUUUAAGUUGAUAAACAGUUAUAUUAACCUAAUGUGGACCUAUACAUGAGCAUACUAAAGUGUCAGUGCUUCCCAAAGACUUUAUUUUGGCACAAAUUAUGUUCCUAGCCAGAUAUAGAGAUUAUGGAAAAUACAUGACAAAUCUUCCUUUAUCCUCCUCCCAAACCCUUUUCUUCAUGGCAGAAGUAAGAAACCAUGCAUUGAUUUUAUUUUUUUUUUGUCAUUUGAAAAACCUCUAAAGAUACUGCACUUCAGAAUUUUGAAAUGGAAAAAAAAAAAAAAACUAACCUAAAUUUCUGAUCACUUUGUGCAGCUGCUCUGCCUCUUUAUUUAUCUGUACAAUUACACUUUUAAAACUGCUGAUGCGCCAUGUUGGUUUUUUCUGUCUAGUAGGAAAUCAAAUUGUCAGUGAAAUUGUUUCUCUGGAAAAAUAUUUCCCUUUCACAUUCUGUUAACCAGUGCUUCAGUGUGCAUCUGUUAUUCCAUAUCCUGCCGAGGGUGAGCGAGAUGCUUUCUCUCAGCCAUAAUUCUGCUUUACGGUUUUUGUAGCUUAAUUAAAUAAUAAUGUGAUGCUAUCGACAUUGCAGGGGUUUUAAACAAUGUGUUUAAACCUGUUUCAGCUUUCAGGUGUUAUUAGUUAACUUGCAGAUCAUUUUUAAUCCUUCCCUUCAUUACUCCCUCCCACCCCCCCCCCCAAAUCCUAAUGCCAUUUAAAGUUUUUAUACCAAUAAUGCUGAGCUUUAACGUAGGAACUAAUAGUACGGAUAAUAUGAUGGAUUAUGCCUCAGAUGUUUAAAAUUGACAGUGUGUAUGUCUAAUUUUUUUUUUUUUUUCUGUUGGAUGAGUAAAAAAACCUGUUUUAAGAAAAUGAAUUUGCUGUCAUGUUUUUGUGGAGUGAGGGGACCGUCGGAGAACCUGUCACCAACUGGAGUUCCAAUUAAGCAUGGAAAUGGUGCUCAUGUCCGCUGCUCUAGCACACUGAAUCUGCACGUGUUUAUUGUAGAGGAUCUUUUACUAUAUUAGAAAGCAAGUAUCUUCUGAAUACUAUUUACUCCAAAAGGACCUCCAAUUUAAAUAAAGUUUAAUCUGUAUCAUUUAGACUUGUAUUUAGAACGUAUAACUCUUGUCUCUGGACUGUUACUGCCUGUAAGGGGUAAUGGACAGCAUCAGAUUAACUUUUUCCUCUAGGAGAAUACAAGCCUUAAUAAACAAUACAUAUUUAGCAA